rnacentral:misc_RNA from 1 species
GAUGAAGAACGUAGCGAAAUGCGAUAAGUAAUGUGAAUUGCAGAAUUCAGUGAAUCAUCGAAUCUUUGAACGCACCUUGCGCUCUUUGGUAUUCCGAAGAGCAUGCCUGUUUGAGUGUCAUGAAAAUAUCAACCUUGACUUGGGUUUUGUGCUCUAGUCUCGGCUUGGAAUUGGGUGUUUGCCGCUUUUACGAGCGGCUCACCUUAAAUGUAUUAGCUGGAUCUGUCUUUGAGACUUGGUUUGACUUGGCGUAAUAAGUAUUUCGCUAAGGACAUUCUUCGGAGUGGCCUCGUUUCUAGGACGCUUGUCCGCUUUCCAAUACAAGUUCCACCUCGUGGACAUGACUUUUUAUUAUCUGGCCUCAAAUCAGGUAGGACUACCCGCUGAACUUAAGCAUAUCAAUAAGCGGAGGA